UACGUAGGGUGCAAGCGUUAAUCGGAAUUACUGGGCGUAAAGCGUGCGCAGGCGGUGAUGUAAGACAGUUGUGAAAUCCCCGGGCUCAACCUGGGAACUGCAUCUGUGACUGCAUCGCUGGAGUGCGGCAGAGGGGGAUGGAAUUCCACGUGUAGCAGUGAAAUGCGUAGAGAUGUGGAGGAACACCGAUGGCGAAGGCAGCCCCCUGGGCUAACACUGACGCUCAGGCACGAAAGCGUGGGGAGCAAACAGG
rnacentral:rRNA from 1 species